rnacentral:rRNA from 1 species
GGAAUUGCAUUGGAAACUGGAAGGCUUGAGUGCAGGAGAGGUAAGUGGAAAUUCCGGGUGUAGCGGUGAAAAUGCGUAGAGAUCGGGAGGAACAUCAGUGGCGAAGGCGACUUACUGGACUGUAACUGACGCUGAGGCGCGAAAGUGUGGGGAGCAAACAGGAUUAGAUACCCUGGUAGUCCACACGGUAAACGAUGAGUGCUAGGUGUAGGAGGUAUCGACCCCUUCUGUGCCGGAGUCAACACAAUAAGCACUCCGCCUGGGGAGUACGGCCGCUAGGUUGAAACUCAAAGGGAUUGACGCGGGCUCGCACAAGCAGCGGAUCAUGUUGUUUAAUUCGAAGCAACGCAACUAACCUUACCCUUGUCUUGACAUCCAAUAAAACGCAUCCGAUACGAUGUGUGUGUCCUGCCCAUACAGAGACGGGUGGUGCAUGUCCUCCUCGUCAUCUUCGUGUAAAGAAUAUGGUUGAGCUCACGUUACGCAACGCACCCCAUCCUUUGUUGAUAAUUAACCAUUGCGGCCUGGCUACUCCCAUCUAAAAAUGGACUUGCUGGGGUAUCACCUCCGCACGUACGGUAGGAACGUACAAUUCAAAUCAUGCACGCUACUGUACUGAGGUGUGACAACGGGAGCCUACAAGGGCGGCUGCCUACGAAUGUAUGCCACCCUUGCUUUAGUUAUUAACGUCGAGCGCGUCCUACAAAAGAUCGUUGCAUAAGUUUU